rnacentral:rRNA from 1 species
UACGGAGGGGGCAAGCGUUGUUCGGAAUUACUGGGCGUAAAGCGCACGUAGGCGGCUAACCAAGUUGGGGGUGAAAGCCCAGGGCUUAACCCUGGAACUGCCUUCAAGACUGGUUGGCUAGAGGCCGAGAGAGGUAAGGGGAAUUCCUAGUGUAGAGGUGAAAUUCGUAGAUAUUAGGAAGAACACCGGUGGCGAAGGCGCCUUACUGGCUCGGAACUGACGCUGAGGUGCGAAAGCGUGGGGAUCAAAC